UCAUCCAUUACGCCAGCUGUGCCAGAAGAGGCUCGAGAGUGGAGCGGUACCCAGACGUUCGGUAUUGAUGCUUGUAAAGGUCCCGACACUGAAGUGGGGUGUGCUGCGUGGUGGGGCGCUGAGCGAUGGGGCGAGCAUGUGAGUGUUUACACGGUAGCCGCGUUGCCGACAGCACGAGAGUUACGGCGGUUGGAUGGAAACACACCGAGAUCAGUCACCCUGGUAACAGGGUUCGAGGGCGGCCACCGAAACCGUCGUAAAUGAAAUGUGGAAUCAGAUGCGUCGGUUCUUAACUUCAAAAAUAGGCACACUUGAUAUUUGUCGAUUACAGCGCCAUCCAUCACGAAUAAUAAACAAUGGUUUCAGUAAA